rnacentral:lncRNA from 1 species
CUGAGCAGCUCUCAAGACACUUGCUGGAGCAUUGAAAAAUAUGGAGGGAAGGACAAAAGUGGUGUGAGAGGUUUGUUCUGGUGCUGGGGGAACAAGACUCUUGGCAGCCUCACACGGGCUCUUCGGGAAGUGGGAAACAAUUAGUGUAGCAUGCAUCUCUGAAUCUCAUCAUUAAGCAUAAACCUUGUUUUGGUCUUUGAAGAGACUGAAGAAGUACAGAGAUUGGAAAACUCCAAAAUGCGAAGAAUUUUGGGUUAAAGUUUCCCAUGUGUCUCCAGCUGUGUUCCUGCCUUCAGCACAGGUCUAGGAGCCGUCCUGGAAACAGUCCCAGGGCAAGAGAGCUCCUGGGACCUGUGCCUGUCUGCAAGCAAAGAAGAAGGAAAAGUCUUUGGUAUCUUCCCUGGCAUGUUUAUUCCUACCUUUUAUUCCAGCAAACACAUCACUUCUUGCGUGUUCCCCUGUGACCCAAGUAUUGGAUGGAACUGAGGUAAGCUAUGUAUAGACAUCGAUAUAGAAUUCCAGUACAAACAUACUUUGGGAUGAUUAUAAUCAACCAAAAUUACGGGGUUUUGCUGUGUCAUGUCUGAGAGCCCAUCUGGUACUUCAGAAUUGCACUGAAAGUACAGAUACCAGUAAGUUCUGGAGAUAUAUACCGGAGGAGUUAUUAAAAUGGGGCAAUCCCUCUGUAAAAUUAUGACUACAGCUAUGGAAUAGUAAAUAUCAAUUUCAGUAAACCAAGAAACAAGUAUUUUUUUCUAAAUUAUCAGAUUGGGAGAGGGGAUGAUCUUAAUCUUUUACCAUU